UACGUAGGGUGCGAGCGUUGUCCGGAAUUAUUGGGCGUAAAGAGCUCGUAGGCGGUGUGUCGCGUCGGCCGUGAAAACCUGGGGCUCAACUCUGGGCGUGCGGUCGAUACGGGCAUCACUUGAGUUCGGCAGGGGAGACUGGAAUUCCUGGUGUAGCGGUGAAAUGCGCAGAUAUCAGGAGGAACACCGGUGGCGAAGGCGGGUCUCUGGGCCUGACCUGACGCUGAGGAGCGAAAGCGUGGGGAGCGAACAGG
rnacentral:rRNA from 1 species